AUAUUUCAUUAUCCUUUUAUAUUACGUUCCUUAGUGAUUCUUGCAUGUUCUCCGUUGCUUUUUAUUGCGUUGGCCAAGUAGUAGAUCGUAACUCCAAGAGGGAGCAUUAUGCAUGAUUGUGGGUUCGGGCCCCUCGAUGUCUAGCUUGAGUGACAGAAACAUGAGACUAGGGGAUAUGCUUGUUGCCGCCAGGGAGAAAAAAUGGUGCUUGUGACCACGGUUCCAAAGAUUGUUUACCUUACAGAUAGUUCGUUAAUGCAGUUGUCCGUUGCUUUGAGUUUACACUUUGGGUGGGGCUCGCAACUUAAUACUGGAGAGAUGUUCUAGAUAGAUAUCUCAAGGUGGAUGAUUAGUAAGUAGAUGUUGAUGAAUAAAUGGUCUACUUUUCUUGGCGUACUGCCCAUUACUAUUGAACCUCUAACUAUCAAGGAGCAUAAUUAGCAUUGCGGUGUGAUCAUAAUUCUUUCAAUUGCUCAACUAUGAUUUGUUUACCCUAGCAUAAUUGUUUAUCGUAUUUUGGGAGAGAGACAUCACUAGUGAACAUCAUGUGACUCUGGUCCAUAUCACCAUCAUUGUUUACACCUCCAUCAUUUGCCACUUUCCUUUACUUUUCCGUUGCAAUCACUAUUACCUUCCCUCUUGUGUUUUGAUCCUUUGCAAACUACAAGGCCGGAGAGAUUGACAACCUAUGUGUACUCGUUGGGAGAAAAGUUAGUUGUUGUGUGUGCAGGUCCACGUCUUCUGU
rnacentral:lncRNA from 1 species